rnacentral:rRNA from 1 species
AGAGUUUGAUCCUGGCUCAGGACGAACGCUGGCGGCGUGCUUAACACAUGCAAGUCACGGGGGCCCGCAAGGGCAACCGGCGAACGGGUGCGUAACACGUGAGCAACCUGCCUUAGUGUGGGGAAUAGCCGGCCCAACGGCCGGGUAAUACCGCAUACGAUCUGUGGGGGGAGUCCCCUGCAGAGGAAACCUCCGGGGCACUAAGAGGGGCUCGCGGCCUAUCAGCUAGUUGGCGAGGUAACGGCUCACCAAGGCGACGACGGGUAGCUGGUCUGAGAGGAUGGCCAGCCACAUUGGGACUGAGAAACGGCCCAGACUCCUACGGGAGGCAGCAGUGGGGAAUCUUGCGCAAUGGUCGAAAGACUGACGCAGCGACGCCGCGUGUGGGAGGAAGCCUUUCGGGGUGUAAACCACUGUUGCCCGGGACGAACAUCCCUUUUCGAGGGGACUGACGGUACCGGGUGAGGAAGCACCGGCUAACUCCGUGCCAGCCGCCGCGGUAAUAC